AACGGUCUAUACCUGCGGUACCUGCGGAAGGAUCAUUACAUGGCGGAGAAGGUGGGCAACCUGGCCAACAUUCAGGUUGUGAUGCCUUCACGCUCUUCCACCCUUGUCUAUUUGCACCUUCUGUCGUUCCCUCGGCGGGUUUCGACCCGCCGGCGGCAACAUUGAAAAACCCUUUUUGCAGUUAGCAUUCAAUUCUUCUGAUCAAAAUAUCAAAUCGUUACAACUUUUAGCAAUGGAUCU
rnacentral:misc_RNA from 1 species